CGAGAGGUGCAGACUCGGCGAACUGCUCAGUAACACGUGGACAUCUGCCUGAAGAAGAGAAUAAUCCCGGGAAACUGGGGGUAAUGCUCUAUAGUCCGGCACGACUGGAAUGUCUGCUGGAUGAAAGAUCCGUCGCUUCAGGAUGAGUCUGCGGCCGAUUAGGUAGUUGUUGGGGUAAAAGCCCAACAAGCCCGUAAUCGGUACGGGUUGUGGGAGCAAGAGCCCGGAGAUGGAUUCUGAGACACGAAUCCAGGCCCUACGGGGCGCAGCAGGCGCGAAAACUUUACAAUGCGGGCAACCGUGAUAAGGAAACCCCGAGUGCCAGCACAGGCUGGCUGUCCUCCAGUGUAAACAACUGGUGAAGAAAGGGCCGGGCAAGACCGGUGCCAGCCGCCGCGGUAAUACCGGCGGCUCGAGUGGUGGCCGCUUUUACUGGGCUUAAAGGGUCCGUAGCUUGAUUCAUGGGUCCCUUGAGAAAUCCAUCGGCUUAACUGAUGGGCGUUCAGGGGAAACUGUGUAUCUAGGGACCGGGAGAGGUGAGAGGUACU
rnacentral:rRNA from 1 species